rnacentral:rRNA from 1 species
UAGCUAGUUGGUGAGGUAAAGGCUUACCAAGGCGACGAUCUGUAGCGGGUCUGAGAGGAUGAUCCGCCACACUGGAACUGAGACACGGUCCAGACUCCUACGGGAGGCAGCAGUGGGGAAUUUUGGACAAUGGGGGCAACCCUGAUCCAGCCAUGCCGCGUGAGUGAAGAAGGCCUUCGGGUUGUAAAGCUCUUUCGGCCGGGAAGAAAUCGCAUGGGCCAAUACCCUGUGUGGAUGACGGUACCGGAAUAAGAAGCACCGGCUAACUACGUGCCAGCAGCCGCGGUAAUACGUAGGGUGCGAGCGUUAAUCGGAAUUACUGGGCGUAAAGCGUGCGCAGGCGGUUUUGUAAGACAGGCGUGAAAUCCCCGGGCUUAACCUGGGAACUGCGUUUGUGACUGCAAGGCUAGAGUACGGCAGAGGGGGGUGGAAUUCCACGUGUAGCAGUGAAAUGCGUAGAGAUGUGGAGGAACACCAAUGGCGAAGGCAGCCCCCUGGGUCGAUACUGACGCUCAUGCACGAAAGCGUGGGUAGCAAACAGGAUUAGAUACCCUGGUAGUCCACGCCCUAAACUAUGUCAACUAGGUGUUGGGUGGGUAAAACCAUUUAGUACCGUAGCUAACGCGUGAAGUUGACCGCCUGGGGAGUACGGCCGCAAGGUUAAAACUCAAAGGAAUUGACGGGGACCCGCACAAGCGGUGGAUGAUGUGGAUUAAUUCGAUUCAACGCGAAAAACCUUACCUACCCUUGACAUGCCAGGAACUUGCCAGAGAUGGCUUGGUGCCCGAAAGGGAGCCUGGACACAGGUGCUGCAUGGCUGUCGUCAGCUCGUGUCGUGAGAUGUUGGGUUAAGUCCCGCAACGAGCGCAACCCUUGUCGUUAAUUGCCAUCAUUUAGUUGGGCACUUUAACGAGACUGCCGGUGACAAACCGGAGGAAGGUGGGGAUGACGUCAAGUCCUCAUGGCCCUUAUGGGUAGGGCUUCACACGUCAUACAAUGGUCGGUACAAAGGGUUGCCAAGCCGCGAGGCGGAGCCAAUCCCAGAAAGCCGAUCGUAGUCCGGAUUGCAGGCUGCAACUCGCCUGCAUGAAGUCGGAAUCGCUAGUAAUCGUGGAUCAGCAUGUCACGGUGAAUACGUUCCCGGGUCUUGUACACACCGCCCGUCACACCAUGGGAGCGGGUUCCGCCAGAAGUAGGUAGCCUAACCGCAAGGGGGGCGCUUACCACGGCGGGGUUCGUGACUGGGGUGAAGUCGUAACAAGGUAGCCGUAGGGGAACCUGCGGCUG